rnacentral:rRNA from 1 species
AGCGAACGCUGGCGGCAGGCUUAACACAUGCAAGUCGAGCGGGCGUAGCAAUACGUCAGCGGCAGACGGGUGAGUAACGCGUGGGAGCAUACCUUUUGGUUCGGAACAACACAGGGAAACGUUGUGCUAAUACCGGAUAAGCCCUUACGGGAAAGAUUUAUCGCCGAAGAUUGGCCCGCGUCUGAUUAGCUAGUUGGUGAGGUAACGGCUCACCAAGGCGACGAUCAGUAGCNGGUCUGAGAGGAUGAUCAGCCACAUUGGGACUGAGACACGGCCCAAACUCCUACGGGAGGCAGCAGUGGGGAAGUAUUGGACAAUGGGCGAAAGCCUGAUCCAGCCAUGCCGCGUGAGUGAUGAAGGCCCUAGGGUUGU